CAGUAGCCGCGGUAAUACGGAGGGUGCAAGCGUUAAUCGGAAUUACUGGGCGUAAAGCGCACGCAGGCGGUCUGACAAGUCAGAUGUGAAAUCCCCGGGCUUAACCUGGGAACUGCAUUUGAAACUGUCAGGCUGGAGUCUUGUAGAGGGGGGUGGAAUUCCAGGUGUAGCGGUGAAAUGCGUAGAGAUCUGGAGGAAUACCGGUGGCGAAGGCGGCCCCCUGGACAAAGACUGACGCUCAGGUGCGAAAGCGUGGGGAGCAAACAGGAUUAGAUACCCGAGCAGUCCAUGUCUCUUAUAC
rnacentral:rRNA from 1 species